rnacentral:lncRNA from 1 species
UAGCAAUUGCGCUCCCUAGACCACUACCACGUAGUUAGGUAAGGGCAAUAAGUCCGUAGUGACGGGAAUCUAGGAAUGAAUGGGGAUCCCUAUCAAUAGAAAAAGAAUAUCUAAUUAGAGUUUUCUACCUUUAUCUCACUCAAUAGAUCUAUCUGAUCUGAUAAGGCAUAGUACAAUACGAGACGAUGUAAUGCAAUGGGAUAGAUGG